UGCAUAAGAGUAUGUGGUAAGGCUGCUGUUGAGCAAGCUGUGGCGGCAAGGUCAGCGCACCGCAACCGCGGUGGUGGUGCUGUGUUGAUUUCGGCUACAAUUCUCUCAGGAUGCAUCACUUGAAGGAAUCUGGAAGACCUGGAGUGGUGGCCUUUUUCUUCGAUUCCAUGUUGUGUCUAGGUAGAUUCUGGUGCAUCAGAGUAUGCGACAUGGCUGCUGCUCGGUAGACCAUGACGGCGAGUUAACUGUGCAGCAACCGCG